AAAUUCAAAUUUCAGAAACUGCAAGCAGUUUAAAAUAAAAUAAAAUGAAAUAAAAUAGAUUAAAAUGUCUGUUCUGUUGCUAAAAACACCUAUUGUGUUAUAUAUUUGGCUAUGUUUUGUGUCAAUCUUCUGUACGAAAGCAGUGACAGGUCGAUUUGGUUUGCUUUCGUCAGUGUUUCGAAAUGAUAAGCGAUGCAUGAUGAAAUAUGCCGAAUAUUGUGUUGUCUUAUGAAAUGGAACUCCCACAUUUUGUAAUUACUGAUGAAUUACUGAAAUUUAUAUUAUGUGCAACCUGUUGAUUUUUCGAAUAGAAUAUACAUUUUUGUGCGAAUGAAUUUGGGAGCAGGGAAAUACACCCAAGCCCUGCUCUCUGGUAAAGGGAAUCCAAAAAUCAUUUAAUGAAUAAAACACUUUUCGUAAGUUUCUCAGAA